rnacentral:rRNA from 1 species
ACACUCCUACGGGAGGCAGCAGUGGGGAAUAUUGGACAAUGGGCGCAAGCCUGAUCCAGCCAUGCCGCGUGAGUGAUGAAGGCCCUAGGGUUGUAAAGCUCUUUCACCGGUGAAGAUAAUGACGGUAACCGGAGAAGAAGCCCCGGCUAACUUCGUGCCAGCAGCCGCGGUAAUACGAAGGGGGCUAGCGUUGUUCGGAUUUACUGGGCGUAAAGCGCACGUAGGCGGACUAUUAAGUCAGGGGUGAAAUCCCGGGGCUCAACCCCGGAACUGCCUUUGAUACUGGUAGUCUUGAGUUCGAGAGAGGUGUGUGGAAUUCCGAGUGUAGAGGUGAAAUUCGUAGAUAUUCGGAGGAACACCAGUGGCGAAGGCGGCUCACUGGCUCGAUACUGACGCUGAGGUGCGAAAGCGUGGGGAGCAAACAGGAUUAGAUACCCCGGUAGUCC